rnacentral:rRNA from 1 species
UACGGAGGGGGCUAGCGUUGUUCGGAAUUACUGGGCGUAAAGCGCGCGUAGGCGGACCUGCAAGUCGGGGGUGAAAGCCCGAGGCUCAACCUCGGAACUGCCUUCGAUACUGGAAGACUUGAGUCCGGGAGAGGUGAGUGGAACUGCGAGUGUAGAGGUGAAAUUCGUAGAUAUUGGGAAGAACACCGGUGGCGAAGGCGGCCAUC